UACAGAGGUCCCGAGCGUUGUUCGGAUUCAUUGGGCGUAAAGGGUGCGUAGGCGGCGGGGAAAGUCUGAUGUGAAAUCCUGGGGCUCAACCCUGGAACUGCAUUGGAUACUGGGGAUCUCGAGUCCGGAAGAGGUUGGUGGAACUGCGAGUGUAGAGGUGAAAUUCGUAGAUAUUCGCAAGAACACCAGUGGCGAAGGCGGCCAACUGGUCCGGUACUGACGCUGAUGUGCGAAAGCCAGGGGAGCGAACGGG
rnacentral:rRNA from 1 species